ACGAACGCUGGCGGCAUGCCUAACACAUGCAAGUCGAACGAGACCUUCGGGUCUAGUGGCGCACGGGUGCGUGACGCGUGGGAACCUGCCCUUAGGUUCGGAAUAACUCAGAGAAAUUUGAGCUAAUACCGGAUAAUGUCUUCGGACCAAAGAUUUAUCGCCUUUGGAUGGGCCCGCGUAGGAUUAGCUUGUUGGUGGGGUAAUGGCCUACCAAGGCGACGAUCCUUAGCUGGUCUGAGAGGAUGAUCAGCCACACUGGGACUGAGACACGGCCCAGACUCCUACGGGAGGCAGCAGUGGGGAAUAUUGGACAAGGGGCGAAAGCCUGAUCCAGCAAUGCCGCGUGAGUGAUGAAGGCCUUAGGGUUGUAAAGCUCUUUUACCAGGGAUGAUAAUGACAGUACCUGGAGAAUAAGCUCCGGCUAACUCCGUG
rnacentral:rRNA from 1 species